rnacentral:rRNA from 1 species
CCUACGUGCGGCAGCAGUGAGGAAUAUUGGUCAAUGGACGAGAGUCUGAACCAGCCAAGUAGCGUGAAGGAUGACUGCCCUAUGGGUUGUAAACUUCUUUUAUAAAGGAAUAAAACGAGGCACGUGUGCCUUUUUGCAUGUACUUUAUGAAUAAGGAUCGGCUAACUCCGUGCCAGCAGCCGCGGUAAUACGGAGGAUCCGAGCGUUAUCCGGAUUUAUUGGGUUUAAAGGGAGCGUAGAUGGGUUGUUAAGUCAGUUGUGAAAGUUUGCGGCUCAACCGUAAAAUUGCAAUUGAUACUGGCAGUCUUGAGUACAGUUGAGGUAGGCGGAAUUCGUGGUGUAGCGGUGAAAUGCUUAGAUAUCACGAAGAACCCCGAUUGCGAAGGCAGCUUACUAAACUGUGACUGACAUUGAUGCUCGAAAGUGUGGGUAUAAAACAGGAUUAGAUACCCGAGUAGUC